rnacentral:rRNA from 1 species
CCUACGGGCGGCAGCAGUGAGGAAUAUUGGUCAAUGGGCGAGAGCCUGAACCAGCCAAGUCGCGUGAAGGAUGACUGUCUUAUGGAUUGUAAACUUCUUUUAUACGGGAAUAACAAGAGUCACGUGUGACUCCCUGCAUGUACCGUAUGAAUAAGCAUCGGCUAACUCCGUGCCAGCAGCCGCGGUAAUACGGAGGAUGUGAGCGUUAUCCGGAUUUAUUGGGUUUAAAGGGUGCGUAGGCGGCCUGUUAAGUCAGCGGUGAAAUCUAGGAGCUUAACUCCUAAAUUGCCAUUGAUACUGGCGGGCUUGAGUGUAGAUGAGGUAGGCGGAAUGCGUGGUGUAGCGGUGGAAUGCAUAGAUAUCACGCAGAACUCCGAUUGCGAAGGCAGCUUACUAAGGUACAACUGACGCUGAAGCACGAAAGCGUGGGUAUCAAACAGGAUUAGAUACCCGAGUAGUC